rfam:Ovis aries breed Texel chromosome 1, whole genome shotgun sequence.
UCCCUUAUAGCUCAGUUGGUAAAUCAUCUGUCUGCAAUGCAGAAGACCCAGGUUCAAUUCCUGGGUCGGGAA